AUACGGAGGGUACAAGCGUUAAUCGGAAUUACUGGGCGUAAAGCGCGCGUAGGCGGCUUGUUAAGUCGGAUGUGAAAGCCCCGGGCUCAACCUGGGAACUGCAUUCGAAACUGGCAAACUAGAGUAUGGGAGAGGGCUGUGGAAUUCCGGGUGUAGCGGUGAAAUGCGUAGAUAUCCGGAGGAACACCAGUGGCGAAGGCGGCUUCCUGGACUAAUACUGACACUGAGGUACGAAAGCGUGGGGAGCAAACAGGAUUAGAAACCCUGGUAGUCC
rnacentral:rRNA from 1 species